rnacentral:sRNA from 1 species
CUUUCAUGGCCAUAGCUUUGAAUAUAAGAAUUGGGGAGUGUAUCGAUCUGAUGUGUAUGACCUUCCUCCUGGGGUCUAUCAAACUGUAAAAAUGUAUCCAAGAGAUGUUGGAACCUGGUUAUUUCAUUGCCAUGUUUUUGAGCACAUUGGUGCUGGAAUGGAAAGCACUUACACUGUACUUGAAAGAAAAGGGCCGAUGGAGCAGAGCCUCUGAAGCAGAGAAAAGAGAGUCUGCAUGAACAGUUUCUCAGAAUCUUCUCUCAAUAUCAGGACUACGUUUGUCAACAAAACCAAAAACUGAUUAGCCACCAGUAUAAUUUUUACCUACAACAUCCUAUUAAUGUCAAUAAUAUCAUUAUUGAUACAAUUCUAAUAAUCAUUACCCUUAUUCCUAUCAGUGUUCAUGCACAUUCUUAGUAAAAGAGACUUUGGUGCACUGUCCAUAAAAUAAAUCCCCCAUUGCUAACAUUCUUUCUUUGGGAAAGUAGAUUUUGCAUUUCAAAGAAUAUAAAGUCAAAUUUGA